rnacentral:rRNA from 1 species
UUGACCUCGAAUCAGGUGGGACUACCCGCUGAACUUAAGCAUAUCAUAGCGGAGAAA